AUAUUUUAGUACAACAUCUUUUCAUCACAGAAAUGAUAUCUUCAGGGAAAAGACUUUGAGAAAGUGCCUGAAGUGACAGAACACAUAUUUUCUUCUGAUAUCUGGCUAAAGCCUCCUCUUCUAAGCAGCAUAAGCUACUGCUCCCUACAUGUUGCCUGUUCAUAAAGUCUGAGGCAGGGGAAUCGCUUGAACUUGGGAGGCGGAGGUUGCAGUGAGCCGAGAUGGUGCCAUUGCACUCCAGCCUGGCGACAGAGUGAGACUCCAUCUCAAAAAUAUAAAAAAAGAAAAGAAAACAAACAAACAAACAAACAAACAAAACAAAGAACUUUGUGCACCUUCUGGAAUAACAAAAUGCAAAGGUAGUAUUACCUACCAGGAUAGAAAUUGGAGGCCAGAAUAUGUUGGGUAGGGUAGAGAGACUAGAGGGAAUGAUUUAGCAAUAAAAUAGGUUUAAAUAUCUUCUCA